UGGAAGUAAAAAGUCGUAACAAGGUUUCCGUAGGUGAACCUGCGGAAGGAUCAUUACUGAAAAUGUAAUAAACCCUUCAGGUUUUGGAAGGGGGAGCCGUCAAAAGCUUCCCUGGUACAUGCCUCACCCCUUGUAUAUCUACCAUGUUGCUUUGGCGGGCCGACCCGGUUUCGACCCGGGCGGCCGGCGCCCCCAGCCUGCUUGCCAGGCCAGGACGCCCGGCCAAGUGCCCGCCAGUAUACAAAACUCCAGCGAUUAUUUUGUGUAGUCCUGAGAAUUUAUUCAAUAAAUUAAAACUUUCAACAACGGAUCUCUUGGUUCUGGCAUCGAUGAAGAACGCAGCGAAAUGCGAUAAGUAAUGUGAAUUGCAGAAUUCAGUGAAUCAUCGAAUCUUUGAACGCACAUUGCGCCCUCUGGCAUUCCGGAGGGCAUGCCUGUUCGAGCGUCAUUUCAACCCUCAAGCUCUGCUUGGUAUUGGGCGACGUCUGCUGUCAGACGCGCCUGGAAGACCUCGGCGACGGCAUUCCAGCCUCGAGCGUAGUAGUAAAAUAUCUCGCUUUGGAGGAUGGGGUGACGGCUUGCCGGACAACCGACCUCUGGUCAUUUUUUCCAAGGUUGACCUCGGAUCAGGUAGGGAUACCCGCUGAACUUAAGCAUAUCAAUAG
rnacentral:rRNA from 1 species